rnacentral:rRNA from 1 species
CUACGGGUCGCACCAGUGAGGAAUUUUGCGCAAUGGGCGAAAGCCUGACGCAGCAACGCCGCGUGAGUGAUGAAGGCUUUCGGGUCGUAAAGCUCUGUCAAGUGGGAAGAACCUAUGCAGUGUUAAUAUCACUGUAUACUGACGGUACCACUGAAGGAAGCACCGGCUAACUCCGUGCCAGCAGCCGCGGUAAUACGGGGGGUGCAAGCGUUAUUCGGAAUCAUUGGGCGUAAAGGGCACGUAGGCGGCUUGGUAAGUCAGAUGUGAAAGCCCGGGGCUUAACCCCGGAAGUGCAUUUGAUACUGUCAGGCUUGAGUAUGGGAGAGGGAAGUGGAAUUCCUGGUGUAGAGGUGAAAUUCGUAGAUAUCAGGAGGAACACCGGUGGCGAAGGCGACUUCCUGGACCAAUACUGACGCUGAGGUGCGAAGGCGUGGGUAGUAAACAGGAUUAGAUACCCUCGUAGUC